UGGAACAAUUGGUACUCACUCUCACCAGACUAUUCCCUUAAAGUGGGAGGUCAAGGGUUCGAGCAGUGGGGGAGGCGACCUAAUUUCCUAAGGGAAAUUUGGGCCAAAUCCACUUGGGGAAGGAUGCGUUUGACGAGAACCCAAGGGGACAAAUCCUGCCUGGAACCCGUGAGGGUGAAGGGAUGUUAAGAGCUGUUCAUACGCCAGUGGAAAGCCCGAGGUGGCAAGAGGCCAGGCGAGGGAUAGCCCUGGGUGUGAACGGUAACAGUGCCGGGGAUCACGUCCGGACUGUUACA
rnacentral:lncRNA from 1 species